GACGAACGCUGGCGGCGUGCUUAACACAUGCAAGUCGAACGGAAAGGCCCUGCUUUUGUGGGGUGCUCGAGUGGCGAACGGGUGAGUAACACGUGAGUAACCUGCCCUUGACUUUGGGAUAACUUCAGGAAACUGGGGCUAAUACCGGAUAGGAGCUCCUGCUGCAUGGUGGGGGUUGGAAAGUUUCGGCGGUUGGGGAUGGACUCGCGGCUUAUCAGCUUGUUGGUGGGGUAGUGGCUUACCAAGGCUUUGACGGGUAGCCGGCCUGAGAGGGUGACCGGCCACAUUGGGACUGAGAUACGGCCCAGACUCCUACGGGAGGCAGCAGUGGGGAAUAUUGCACAAUGGGCGGAAGCCUGAUGCAGCAACGCCGCGGGCGGGAUGACGGCCUUCGGGUUGUAAACCGUUUUCGCCUGUGACGAAGCGUGAGUGACGGUAAUGGGUAAAGAAGCACCGGCUAACUACGUG
rnacentral:rRNA from 1 species